rnacentral:rRNA from 1 species
UACGGGAGGCAGCAGUGGGGAAUAUUGCACAAUGGGCGCAAGCCUGAUGCAGCCAUGCCGCGUGUAUGAAAAAGGCCUUCGGGUUGUAAAGUACUUUCAGUCGUGAGGAAGGUGUUAAGGUUAAUAACCUUAGCAAUUGACGUUAGCGACAGAAGAAGCACCGGCUAACUCCGUGCCAGCAGCCGCGGUAAUACGGAGGGUGCGAGCGUUAAUCGGAAUUACUGGGCGUAAAGGGCACGCAGGCGGUUAAUUAAGUUGGAUGUGAAAUCCCCGGGCUUAACCUGGGAAUGGCAUUCAAGACUGGUUAGCUAGAGUCUUGUAGAGGGGGUAGAAUUCCAUGUGUAGCGGUGAAAUGCGUAGAGAUGUGGAGGAAUACCGGUGGCGAAGGCGGCCCCUGGACAAAGACUGACGCUCGAUGUGCGAAAGCGUGGGGAGCAAACAGGGAUUAGAUACCCGU